AUUGAGCGCUGGCGGCAUGCCUUACACAUGCAAGUCGAACGGUAACGGGCCUUCGGGUGCCGACGAGUGGCGAACGGGUGAGUAAUACAUCGGAACGUGCCCGAUCGUGGGGGAUAACGAGGCGAAAGCUUUGCUAAUACCGCAUACGAUCUACGGAUGAAAGCAGGGGACCGCAAGGCCUUGCGCGGACGGAGCGGCCGAUGGCAGAUUAGGUAGUUGGUGGGAUAAAAGCUUACCAAGCCGACGAUCUGUAGCUGGUCUGAGAGGAUGAUCAGCCACACUGGGACUGAGACACGGCCCAGACUCCUACGGGAGGCAGCAGUGGGGAAUUUUGGACAAUGGGCGCAAGCCUGAUCCAGCCAUGCCGCGUGCAGGAUGAAGGCCUUCGGGUUGUAAACUGCUUUUGUACGGAACGAAAAGCCUUCUUUUAAUACAGGAGGGUCAUGACGGUACCGUAAGAAUAAGCACCGGCUAAUUACGUG
rnacentral:rRNA from 1 species